CAUUAAGUGCAUUACUCGGUAUAAAUAAAUGAAGCGAAAUUUUUCAUUAGAAGAUAUCGACGCACAAUGGUGACGAAACUGUCUUUGAUUUUACUAAUUUGCCUGGCUUGUCACUUGGUCAAGUCGGAGGAAAAAAUGAAAGACAGAAUUCUUUACAGCCCAGGAGCCCCCAUGAUAGAUUCUGACAAAAGUGACGACUCCUUCCCCAUUUAUUUAAACUUCCCCGAAAAUAAAGAUGUGAGAAAGAUGCAUUUGAAUUGUCACUGGAAUAACUAUACCGAACUAUGAAAUAAUUAAUUAUUCCCUCUAAUCGUUAAAUAAAAGAAAAUGAAGCAUU